rnacentral:rRNA from 1 species
GAUGAACGCUGGCGGCGUGCCUAAUACAUGCAAGUCGAGCGAACAGACGAGGAGCUUGCUCCUCUGACGUUAGCGGCGGACGGGUGAGUAACACGUGGAUAACCUACCUAUAAGACUGGGAUAACUUCGGGAAACCGGAGCUAAUACCGGAUAAUAUAUUGAACCGCAUGGUUCAAUAGUGAAAGACGGUUUUGCUGUCACUUAUAGAUGGAUCCGCGCCGCAUUAGCUAGUGGGUAAGGUAACGGCUUACCAAGGCAACGAGGCGUAGCCGACCUGAGAGGGUGAUCGGCCACACUGGAACUGAGACACGGUCCAGACUCCUACGGGAGGCAGCAGUAGGGAAUCUUCCGCAAUGGGCGAAAGCCUGACGGAGCAACGCCGCGUGAGUGAUGAAGGUCUUCGGAUCGUAAAACUCUGUUAUUAGGGAAGAACAAAUGUGUAAGUAACUAUGCACGUCUUGACGGUACCUAAUCAGAAAGCCACGGCUAACUACGUG